rnacentral:rRNA from 1 species
GCUCAGAUUGAACGCUGGCGGCAGGCCUAACACAUGCAAGUCGAGCGGUAACAGAAAGUAGCUUGCUACUUUGCUGACGAGCGGCGGACGGGUGAGUAAUGCUUGGGAACAUGCCUUGAGGUGGGGGACAACAGUUGGAAACGACUGCUAAUACCGCAUAAUGUCUACGGACCAAAGGGGGCUUCGGCUCUCGCCUUUAGAUUGGCCCAAGUGGGAUUAGCUAGUUGGUGAGGUAAUGGCUCACCAAGGCGACGAUCCCUAGCUGGUUUGAGAGGAUGAUCAGCCACACUGGGACUGAGACACGGCCCAGACUCCUACGGGAGGCAGCAGUGGGGAAUAUUGCACAAUGGGCGCAAGCCUGAUGCAGCCAUGCCGCGUGUGUGAAGAAGGCCUUCGGGUUGUAAAGCACUUUCAGUCAGGAGGAAAGCGUGGUGGUUAAUACCCAUCAUGUGUGACGUUACUGACAGAAGAAGCACCGGCU